rnacentral:rRNA from 1 species
GGAGUCUGGGCCGUGUCUCAGUCCCAAUGUGGCCGGUCACCCUCUCAGGUCGGCUACUGAUCGUCGCCUUGGUGAGCCACUACCUCACCAACUAGCUAAUCAGACGCGGGUCCAUCCUUUAACGAUAGCAUCAUGCUCAGCCAUCUUUCCCGUCGGAGAGAUGCCUCUCCGACGUCACAUUCGGUAUUAGCAGCCGUUUCCAGCUGUUGUCCCCAUUUAAAGGGCAGGUUACCCACGCGUUACUCACCCGUCCGCCACUAACUUCCAAGAUCGUCUUCCGAAGAAUCAAAUCAAGGUCGUUCGUUCGACUUGCAUGUGUUAAGCAUGCCGCCAGCGUUCGUCCUGAGCCAUAUCAAACUCU